UCCAGAGGGGGCAAGCGUUGUUCGGAAUUACUGGGCGUAAAGGGCGCGUAGGUGGCCUUCUAAGUCGAACGUGAAAUCCCUGGGCUCAACCCAGGAACUGCGUCCGAUACUGGAAGGCUUGAAUCCGGGAGAGGGAUGCGGAAUUCCAGGUGUAGCGGUGAAAUGCGCAGAUAUCAGGAGGAACCCCGGUGGCGAAGGCGGUUCUCUGGGCAUUACCUGACGCUGAGGAGCGAAAGUGUGGGGAGCGAACAGG
rnacentral:rRNA from 1 species